rnacentral:tRNA from 1 species
GGAAAUUUAAUCAUUGGUAAGAUAAAUUAUUUGCUACAUAAUUGAAGUUAUUCAGUAAGGGUUCGAAUCCCUUAGUUUCCG